rnacentral:lncRNA from 1 species
UUUAACUGUCUUUAUGAAAGUUGCUGCCCUCGUAAAUAUUAGCACCGACGGUUAGCUUUACACUUGUAAGUUUGUCUUAAUAUAUAGGUAAUUGUGUUGAAACUGUCGUUUCGUUGCUGUCUUGUGAAUGAAUACCCGAAAUCUCCGUGUCAUCAUCCAUCAUAUAGUAAUGGCAAUAUAUCGGGUUAUUCAAUACUCUGUUUUUUGCAUAGAAAUAGUUCUUCGUUAAUC